GCCAGCUCAGUUGGUAGAGCAUUGGACUUUUAAUCAAAUUGCUGUGGGUUCAAAUCCCACAUAGGGCG
rnacentral:tRNA from 1 species